UACGGAGGGGGCAAGCGUUGCUCGGAAUCAUUGGGCGUAAAGCGCACGUAGGCGGCUUCUUAAGUCGGGUGUGAAAGCCCUCGGCUCAACCGAGGAAGUGCAUCCGAAACUGAGGGGCUUGAAUACUGGAGAGGAUGGCGGAAUUCCCGGUGUAGAGGUGAAAUUCGUAGAUAUCGGGAGGAACACCGGCGGCGAAGGCGGCCAUCUGGACAGAUAUUGACGCUGAGGUGCGAAAGCGUGGGGAGCAAACAGG
rnacentral:rRNA from 1 species